rnacentral:rRNA from 1 species
GCAGCUACAGCUUACCAUGCAAGUCGCGGGGCAGCGUGGGGAUGGCUUGCCAUCCCUGACGGCGACCGGCGCACGGGUGAGUAACGCGUAUCCAACCUGCCCCUUACCACGGGAUAGCCCUCCGAAAGGGGGAUUAAUACCGUAUGUGGCCACGAGACGGCAUCCGACCGUGGCUAAAGGCUCAGCGGUAAGGGACGGGGAUGCGUCUGAUUAGGUAGUCGGCGGGGUAACGGCCCACCGAGCCAUCGAUCAGUAGGGGUUCUGAGAGGAAGGUCCCCCACAUUGGAACUGAGACACGGUCCAAACUCCUACGGGAGGCAGCAGUGAGGAAUAUUGGUCAAUGGGCGCGAGCCUGAACCAGCCAAGUAGCGUGAGGGAAGACGGCCCUACGGGUUGUAAACCUCUUUUAUGCGGGGAUAAAGUGAGCCACGUGUGGCUUUUUGCAGGUACCGCAUGAAUAAGGACCGGCCAAUUCCGUGCCAGCAGCCGCGGUAAU